rnacentral:rRNA from 1 species
CCUACGGGAGGCAGCAGUGGGGGAUAUUGCACAAUGGGGGAAACCCUGAUGCAGCGACGCCGCGUGGGUGAAGACGCGCCUCGGCGCGUAAAGCCCUGUCAGCCGGGAAGAAAAUGACGGUACCUGAAGAAGAAGCCCCGGCAAACUAAGUGCCAGCAGCCGCGGUAAUCCGGAGGGGGCACGCGUUAUCCGGAUUUACUGGGUGUAAAGGGGGCGCAGACGGGGAUGCAAGCCAGGAGGGAAAGCCAGGGGCCCAACCCCGGGACUGCUGUUGAAACUGCGUUGCUAGAGUGCAGGAGGGGCAGGCGGAAUGCCUGGUGUAGCGGUGAAAUGCGUAGAUAUCAGGAGGAACACCGGUUGCGAAGGCGGCCUGCUGGACUGCAACUGACGUUGAGGCCCGAAAGCGUGGGGAGCAAACAGGAUUAGAUACCCGGGUAGUC